UACAGAGGAUGCGAGUGUUAUUCGGAAUUAUUGGGCGUAAAGCGUUUGUAGGUAGGGUUUAAAGUCUUUUGUAAAAUAUUUAAGCUUAACUUAAAAAAUAUAAAAGAUACUUAUUCUCUUGAGUGUGGUAAAGGUACAGGGAAUUUUCAAUGGAGCGUCUAAGUGUGUCGAGAAUGAAGAGAACAUCAUACGCGAAGGCAUUGUACUACAACAACACUGACACUGAAGAACGAAAGCUAAGGGAGCGAACGGG
rnacentral:rRNA from 1 species